UAGUUCAUAAAACUUCUUUUUUACAUUUUCGUUGGUUUCACUUCUGUAGCAUUAUGAUAAAUGAUGCACGUCUUUCUAAUUGCCACAGCUUAGAAAAGAGUCCAUAAAAAGUUGAUUGAGAAUUUAUUUCGAGAAUGUCGCCAUUACAGAGAUUAAUUAUGCGAAAUCUGGCAAGGCUACUGUUAGAGUGAUUAGCGUUAGUCUCCAGGCUUACCGUCUCUAUCGAGCACUUCUAUGGUCAAAAGCCAACGGUACUACCCGGAGUUUAUGAGUUUGGAUAAUGGAAAUUGUCCUUUCUGUGACCUUCUUAUAAUGAAAAACGUUGUUUCAUUUUUGUACCCCAGAAGAUUAUGUUACGGAGAUAACUACUGCAAACAAGCUUAAAGAUUCGUUCUAUGAUUGGUUCUCGAAUCCACUUUUGGUCAUCAAAGACCAGGUCAAAGCCCAUAAUCUGACUGAAUCUGAAGAGAAGUACGUGGGCAAAUUAGUCAUGUUCUGUUGAGAAGUUGAGAAUCACGAACAUUGGUCCGCCGCUUGACAUGUUAGAGAUUGACACUUUCGUCCGAAGGUGGAACCUUUGGGAACGGCAGUCUCCUCGUUGUGAAUCAAAGAGCUAUCAGACGGCAAAGCAUUAGAAUGUCUUUCAACUUGCCCACGAUCAACAUAAGAAAACUCAGAAUCAUGGAAUCCAUAUAAAUGAAAGUUGUAGGCAGCAUGAAAGGUAAUGAGUGUGGGUUAGACAGCAUUUGAGGUCAUGAUGAUUCAGCCACGAUCUGAUUUAAUUUAUAUGUAAA